AAUCGCUUUACAGAAUACUGCGAUGAAAUGAAGAUUGGGGAUGGUUAGGUUGGAGGCCGCUGACGGUCUCCUGCAACGAGUUUAAGGUCAGAGACGCAUCCGAUGUGCGCUCCAUCUACGAGGUUCAGAUUUCUGACGCACCGACGACGAAAUAUAAGUCUGACUCACCACUCUCCAGUGACGAAAGAACAAGCUGUUAUGCCACCGCUCUAUGGGUACCGACGAGAUGGAAAUUCCCUAACUUAGUCGAUGUGCACUAACGCAGUCGAUGUGCACUCCUUCUACGAUGUGCCUUAGGAUCUCUGCAGGGCCCAGCCGACUGGAUGGACGUUAGAGCGUAGAAAUUUGUGCGGUCCUUAUCCAAGAUUGAAAUUGAGACCCUCUUCCGACGACGAGACGUAGGCUAGUGUCCACCGCUAUGUAGGGGAGCUGUUAAAGUUUAAGUUAACCACUAUUGUAAUCUUACAAUCACAAAGCACUCUGUUAUCUAUGAUGGUCACCACGCAACAAAGAAUGCCAACACUGGUUCAAAACCGGAACAUGCUGUUACAGCUGCUUGCAGCAACAAAGUCCAAAUUGUUAUGGCAAAUCUACGAAUAACAAUGGUGAACGCCAAUGGCGUUUUACGGCACAAUCUUGAAGUAACACAGUUCCUGAAUGAAAAUCAUAGCAACUUUAUGCUACUGAUUUUGCAGUGACAUAAAACAUUCCUCGCAAUAUAAUAAGCGCCAAGGCACUUUCAGAGCUGUCGUCAAACCAAUUACUCUUUUUCAAAGCCCAAAAACUACAGAUCGUCUGUGGCUACAAUAUAAAAAGUAUUUAAGCUCACACAUCAAAUUAAUCCCUCAGUUCUACCGAUGCUCUUGAAGAAAUAUUCGCGGAGGCAGCCACUAUCCCAACACCCAUGCAAUUGAACGGCUAGUCCUAGAGGCGCCUGCGACGUGCCUGGCAAACAACGUCUUAAGAAAUCCAUACGCACACUAAAUCGAGCUUUAAAGCAAGAAACAGAAAAUGCGCAACUCCGGUACUUUAAAAAAAACUUUUGCCAAACAGUACAAAACACCCUCUGUGGAGGGCUCACCCAAAUCUGAGCUCUCCUUCGAAACAAUCCGAUAAGCAAUCUAUCAGGUAGCUGGGUCCGCAGCGACGAAGAUAGAGCCGAAACUUUUGCUUCACAUCUCCGGGACAACUUCCAGGCGAACCCUGCCAUUCCUUUUCUAUUUGUUUGUUCAGCCAAAGAAGACCGCAAAAGUCGUUGGGGAACUGAAACCGAAGAAGGCAUCUGGCGGUAACCAAAUAAACCCAAAAAUGUUCAUUGAACUUCUUAACUCUGCCAUUGAGGUUAUUUGUCAGCUCUUCAAUGCACAGUGGUUGAUUCCAUAGGCCAAAUGUAAAAAAACAGAAGUCCGAAAUCGGUAACUUUUUGUCUUUCAAUUUUUUCCUAAUAGAGCAAUAAAACGAACAGUAUUUUCA